GACGAACGCUGGCGGCGCGCCUAACACAUGCAAGUCGAACGAGCGAGAGAGAGCUUGCUUUCUUGAGCGAGUGGCGAACGGGUGAGUAACGCGUGAGGAACCUGCCUCAAAGAGGGGGACAACAGUUGGAAACGACUGCUAAUACCGCAUAAGCCCACGACCCGGCAUCGGGUUGAGGGAAAAGGAGCAAUCCGCUUUGAGAUGGCCUCGCGUCCGAUUAGCUAGUUGGUGAGGUAACGGCCCACCAAGGCGACGAUCGGUAGCCGGACUGAGAGGUUGAACGGCCACAUUGGGACUGAGACACGGCCCAGACUCCUACGGGAGGCAGCAGUGGGGAAUAUUGCACAAUGGGGGAAACCCUGAUGCAGCGACGCCGCGUGGAGGAAGAAGGUCUUCGGAUUGUAAACUCCUGUUGU
rnacentral:rRNA from 1 species